rnacentral:lncRNA from 1 species
GAUUCAGAGAUUUUUCCAUAAAGUAAUGGAAGAAGCAAAGGAAAGAGAGAAACUGACGCUGGUGAGUCGAAAAUCCUAUUUCGGAUUACCCACUUCUUUCCCCAACUGUUUGCCCGUUUACGCUUAUCUCAAAUUCUCCAACACUCUAUUUGAUUUGGAUUUCAAUCUCAUUAACCCUGAUUCUGAUCAAAUACCUUAUGUCGAAUACGGUACAUACGUAGCCUACAACAAUGAGAAGGGUGGAGUUAUAUGUAGUUUAAUCAAAGAUGGUUUCGUGGAUUUGGAUUCUCAAGUUCGUGGUAUACCUGAAUGGAUAUCAGCAAAGGCUAUGGUUGAUUCAUGGCUUGCAGAUGCCAUCAUUUAUAAACUUUGGGUGGGUUCUGAUGGAACUUUUGCACACAAGAUCUAUUAUUCAGAUCUCCCGUGGCCACUUGGAAAAAUCUUGU